rnacentral:rRNA from 1 species
UACGUAGGGUGCAAGCGUUGUCCGGAAUUAUUGGGCGUAAAGAGCUCGUAGGCGGUUUGUCACGUCGGAUGUGAAACCCUGAGGCUCAGCCUCAGGCCUGCAUUCGAUACGGGCAGACUAGAAUUCGGCAGGGGAGACUGGAAUUCCUGGUGUAGCGGUGAAAUGCGCAGAUAUCAGGAGGAACACCGGUGGCGAAGGCGGGUCUCUGGGCCGAUAUUGACGCUGAGGAGCGAAAGCGUGGGGAGCAAAAGGG